CUGCACCCGGAUGUAGUGGGUGACUAAGCUAAUGAUCAUGUUGCUAGCCCAGUUUGGUAUCUUGAGCAUCGAACGUUAUAUGUUGACGAUUAUGUGAUUUAUAGCUAGAUAGAGAACUUGGAUGCAGAUUGCAAGCGUGUCUCAUUUUAACCUGUGCGCCUGGGUCAUUUUGGUGAGAAAGCCUAGGAAUCAGCGCUACUGCGGUAGGAACCCGGGAGAGACCCUGAACUGACACCCCAGCUCUGUCCCAAGCCGUUGCUGAUCUUCCACUCCUCCAUGUCCCAGGUGUAGGUUAAACCCUUGAGGCUGGAGAGACCCUGAACUGACACCCCAGCUCUGUCCCAAGCCGUCGCUGAUCUGCCACUCCUCCAUGUUCCAGGUGUAGGUUAAACCCUUGAAGCUGCAGAGACCCUGAAGUCCCACCCCUGUGACACCCCUCGGUCCCCAGCCUCAGCCUCACCCCCUCUGACGACCUACCAUGCCCCUGAUCGUGGAUGCUGUGUGGGCCGUGUGGAGCAUCGGGGCGGGGGUCUAUGACUACUUCCACACCAGUGCCAUGGAGGAACGCAUCGGCAACCUGGAGAGCGUCCUCACCAUCCACCAGUGUGUCAUAACAGCCCUGUCCGCAGGCCUCGUCCUCCUCAUGACCUAUAUACUGUGGAGAAAACACUGAAGCCAUGGUCGUAUUCAGUCAGUGAGAUGGCCCCGGGGGAAGGUUUCCCCUAGGUACAGAUCUUGGAUCAUUUCGCCCUCCCUCAAUCCUAUCUGUAACCAGUAGUGGGGAAAAUACUAAACUGACCCAAGAUCAGCAUCUAGGGGCAACUUCACCCUAUUCCAGCGGAGAUGGGAGGUGAGACGGUCCUAGAUACUCCAGACCUAAGGACUGCAUUACGGCUAGCGUCAGCUACUCACCAGACUAACAGCCAGUCCCAAAUCACUCCCUAACCCUCCCCCAUUGUCUUAUGUCAUAUCAUGCGAUGACUGUCAGUUUAGGGAUGGGGCAUCGUGUAGGAGUGACGCCACUUAUGCAUAAGAUAAUGACCUUGGCCCCUAACCCUUGGGUGUUGGCAGAUCUGAAGGGUCUUGAUAAGUAUAAGCAGAUAGGUAUAAGCAGUGUAACGCUGGAUCAUCACAUUACUACUACUACUACUACUACUGGAGCUCAACAGACAGUCUGCAACCCCUCCAUAGUCCUUCCCCUCGGCCCUGACCAUCAAAGAACGGUCUGGAUAGGUAUGACAACUGGGUAGGUAUAGGAUUCUGUUUCAUCAAAGCACUACUAUUGGAAGACGAGCUCAAGAGACCAUGAGGAGUUGCUUGUGGAAGCUUCCUGGUGGAAAGUAGUCCUGGUAUACAGUACAAAGGCUCUAUUAGAGCUUGUUGGAGUAGUCACCCCUCCAAGUCUCGUUCGUCACUCUGCUGUUACUUGGAACGGGAUUGAGAGGAAGUCUGGGAGCUGAGGGUAGCUGGAGAGGGGCUCUUCAAUCUGAGAGCUUGAGUGCCGUGAUGACUGUAGCCUGGUCCCAGAUCUGUUUGUGCUAUCGUGUCAACUCCUUGCCAUGCCAAACAUGGAAUUGACAUGAUAGCACAAACAGAUCUGGGACCAGUCUAUCAUGACUGGCUGUGAUCAGAAAACACUGUAUUUUGCUACUGUGUGGAUACUGACGUCUAGCCUGGUCCCUGAUCUGUUCGUGCUGUCUUGCCAACAAUGACCGUAGGAGUGGGCAAGACCAUACAAACAGAUCUAGGACCAGGCUAACUCAGGCCACUUGUUUAAUUUAAAACUAUCAUCCAUUGAAUGUGAUUGAUUCAUGUUGGUACUUUAUAUUGCCGAAAGGGAUUUGUGAAACGUGGCUUCCGUCCAUGUGACUGUAGAAUGAGCCUACAUAAUAAUGACACUGUUGGGACUAAACAUUAUACACCGCUUUCCCGCACACAGAUUAAGCCUAGUCCUAGAAUAAAAAGCCUGGUCAAUGGAGAAUCUCUAUUAAAAGUGAUUUAUUAUUUUUUUAGCCCAGGACUAGACUUAAACUGUCUGAAACCUUCCAUGUAAGAGAAAGAUAACACCUUUUUAAGUUACUGUCUAGGUAAAAAAAAAAAUACACGUUUCCAUGUCGAUGACGCCUUUUAACGGUUUUCUCUGUAUUUGUACGUCAUAACAUCUCGUUUUUAAAAUCAUGCUUUUAUCAUUGUUGGAUCUGUUACCCGUCUACCUGGUUGACUAAUAUCAUGUCUGUUGGCCAUUGUUGUCGACUCAAGUGCUACUGUGUGUAUUUUGCUGAAUCACUACCUGGUUGUUGGUUUCUAUGUGAACAAAAGGUAUUAAUGUCAGGUUAAUAAAUAAUGUGAUUAACUCUG